rnacentral:rRNA from 1 species
AUGGCGCCCGCCGAGAUCCUGCGCAUCCUCUCCGUCGACGCGCCGUCGUCGCAUGAGGACUUGGACGCCUGGCUCGCUGACACCUCCCCCAAAUCCUACAGGAGGUGUGUGUUGUGUGCUGCAGCAGGUUUGGAUGCGGCAAUCAAGACCAUGGCUCGGCUUGGGGAGCAUCAAGCAUCGACUGAUGUGAGGAGGCCAAGGUUUGAUCGGAUCAGGGUCAGCAGAUCGGCGGCGGCAUCCCACAGGAUAACUCGACGGGUGUGGCCAUCACAACGACAUCACGGUAUCGUUGGCCAACCUGUUACAUUAUUAAAAUCAGGCGAGGAAGAGCGCGCCAAUGGAUUUUCCUACCCAGGACUUUGUACUGUACUAAUAUUCAGAAAAAUGUUUGUUUGUAUCUCUUUCAGGUUAAAAAAAUGGUCUUCUAUGGGUUACAAACCAAUGCUUGCUUGCGUACACUCUGGUGCUCCAGUUAAAGAUGGAAAGUUAUAA